UGUAAAUGUGGAAGUACAUCGGGUUGUUGAUA
rnacentral:piRNA from 1 species